CAGCAAUACCAAACCAGCUCUUAAUCCGAACCCACUUAUUUUAUACUCCUCACACCCGGUUAUUUAUCCCGUCUAAAACCUAUGUAUUAUUAGUCCGGUGGAUCCUCUCACUCACUCAAUCCCUCAUGCAGCAGUACUCUCCUUCCACUCUCGCAUUUCCUGCUCGCUCUCUCGUCUGGAUAGCUGCAGGGUAUUUGUUGUAUUGAUUUGGUGGGUUUUCUGUUCUGGUUGUGGUUGUGCUCCUGCUCAAUUGUUUGACAAUUGUCCGAGUUAGUUCGCCUUCGAUCUCUAACAAGAACAAUUUUAAUCAAACUUUCCAUGGGUUGAAGGAGGAAGAAAUUAUUCAAAUUCUUCCGAUCUGGGCUCCGAUGAGGAGAGGGAUAUCAAUUUGCAUCUGGGCUCUACCAAGAAGGACGAAGCCAAGAAAGGGAGCUUGACUUUCUCUGAUUAUGGUUGAUUUCUGGGCUUCAACAAGAAGGACGAAGAUGAGGAAGACAAUCUAGGCUUCAACCAUUAAAAAUAUUUAUUUUUGGGAUUUUUGUUUUUGGUUAAUCUGUGUGUGGAUUUUACAAGGAUUCUAAAAGUUGGAUUUUUCCAUAAAUUUUUGUAAUUUUUUGGAAUCCUGCUUAAAUUCAUAUGUAUAUUGCUGAAACUGUAUUCAAGAAAUGUUGUAUACCAAACACGGUAUAAAUAAUACGGUCUUGGUCCAAUAUUGCACUAAA